rfam:Apaloderma vittatum contig25061, whole genome shotgun sequence.
GGCCAGUUAGCUCAGUCAGCUGAGCAUGGCGCUGACAAUGCCAAGGUCAUGGGUUCGAUUCCCGUUCGGUCCC